ensembl:misc_RNA 7SK 7SK RNA
GGAUGUGAGGGCGAUCUGGCUGCAACAUCUGUCACCCCAUUGAUUGCCAGGGUUGAUUCGGCUAUCUGGCCGGCUAGGCUGGUGUCCCCUUCCUCCCUCACCGCUCCAUGUGCGUCACUCCCGAAGCUGCGCGCUCGGUCGAAAAGGACGACCAUCCCCGCUAGAGGAGGACCGGUCUUCGGUCAAGGGUAUACGAGUAGCUGCGCUCCCCUGCUAGAACCUCCAAACAAGCUCUCAAACAAAGAAAAUCUAAAAAACCCACACACACACACAACACAAACCACAGAAAAUAUUAUGAAAAAAAAUUAUGGACUUUUAAAUAUUCAAAUUUAUUUU